rnacentral:rRNA from 1 species
UACGGAGGAUCCAAGCGUUAUCCGGAUUCAUUGGGUUUAAAGGGUGCGUAGGCGGGGGAGUAAGUCAGUGGUGAAAGCCUGCAGCUUAACUGCAGAACUGCCAUUGAUACUGCUAACCUAGAGUACAGCUGAUGUGGGCGGAAUGUGUCGUGUAGCGGUGAAAUGCUUAGAUAUGACACAGAACACCGAUUGCGAAGGCAGCUCACAAAACUGUAACUGACGCUGAGGCACGAAAGUGUGGGGAUCGAACAGG